rnacentral:rRNA from 1 species
CCCUUAGAUGUUCUGGGCCGCACGCGCGCUACACUGAUGCAUUCAACGAGUCUACAACCUGGUCUGAUAGGGCUGGGUAAUCUUUUGAAUGUGCAUCGUGAUUGGGAUAGAUGAUUGCAAUUCUUCAUCUUCAACGAGGAAUGCCUAGUAAACGCAAGUCAUCAGCUUGCAUUGAUUACGUCCCUGCCCUUUGUACACACCGCCCGUCGCUCCUACCGAUUGGGUGUGCUGGUGAAAUGUUCGGAUCGGCCGUUUGUCGCGGUUUCCGCGGCUCGUGGCUGAGAAGUUCAUUAAACCCUCCCACCUAGAGGAAGGAGAAGUCGUAACA